GAUGAACGCUGGCGGCGUGCCUAAUACAUGCAAGUCGAGCGAACAGACGAGGAGCUUGCUCCUCUGACGUUAGCGGCGGACGGGUGAGUAACACGUGGAUAACCUACCUAUAAGACUGGGAUAACUUCGGGAAACCGGAGCUAAUACCGGAUAAUAUAUUGAACCGCAUGGUUCAAUAGUGAAAGACGGUUUUGCUGUCACUUAUAGAUGGAUCCGCGCCGCAUUAGCUAGUUGGUAAGGUAACGGCUUACCAAGGCAACGAUGCGUAGCCGACCUGAGAGGGUGAUCGGCCACACUGGAACUGAGACACGGUCCAGACUCCGACGGGAGGCAGCAGUAGGGAAUCUUCCGCAAUGGGCGAAAGCCUGACGGAGCAACGCCGCGUGAGUGAUGAAGGUCUUCGGAUCGUAAAACUCUGUUAUUAGGGAAGAACAAAUGUGUAAGUAACUGUGCACGUCUUGACGGUACCUAAUCAGAAAGCCACGGCUAACUACGUG
rnacentral:rRNA from 1 species